AGAGUUUGAUCCUGGCUCAGAACGAACGCUGGCGGCGUGGAUUAGGCAUGCAAGUCGAACGAGAAUCUGGAGGUUCAAGUUUUCGGACAAGAACUUUCGGAGGAAAGUGGCGGAAGGGUGAGUACAACAUGGAUAAUCUACCUUCAAGUUGGGUAUAGCUUCCCGAAAGGGGAGAUAAUCCCGAAUGUGGUGAUCCGGCGCCUGUCGGAGAAUCCAAAGGUGGGGACCGCAAGGCCUGCCGCUUGAAGAUGAGUCCGUGCACUAUCAGCUAGUUGGUGAGGUAAUGGCUCACCAAGGCGAUGACGGUUAGCUGGUCUGAGAGGAUGGUCAGCCACACUGGGACUGAGAUACUGCCCAGACUCCUACGGGAGGCUGCAGUCGAGAAUCAUUCGCAAUGGGCGCAAGCCUGACGGUGCGACGUCGCGUGGAGGAUGAAGGUCUUCGGAUUGUAAACUCCUGUCAUGUGGGAUAAAUGGCCAGGGCAUGAAUAGUGCCUUGGAAUGAUAGUACCACAGGAGGAAGGGACGGCUAACUCUGUGCCAGCAGCCGCGGUAAUUCAGAGGUCCCGAGCGUUGUUCGGAUUUACUGGGCGUAAAGGGAGCGUAGGCGGUUUGGUGUGUCGAAUGUGAAAGCCCACAACUCAACUGUGGAAUGGCAUUCGAAACUACUGAGCUAGAGUACUGGAGAGGAGAGCGGAAUUCUUGGUGUAGCGGUGAAAUGCGUAGAUAUCAAGAGGAACACCGGUGGCGAAGGCGGCUCUCUGGACAGAUACUGACGCUGAGGCUCUAAAGUUAGGGGAGCAAACAGGAUUAGAUACCCUGGUAGUCCUAACCAUAAACGGUGUACACUUGGUGUGCGAGGAAUUGUCCCUUUGCGCGCCGCAGCUAACGCGAUAAGUGUACCGCCUGGGGAGUACGGUCGCAAGAUUAAAACUCAAAGGAAUUGACGGGGACCC
rnacentral:rRNA from 1 species